UUUAUAACAACAACAACACCGUCACCUGCCAGUGCCAACAUCAACAAAAAGGGGUGCUCCAAAGUGUUUCGAGGACUCGUACCUCCUACGACGACAAUUGCAACAACAGCAAUGCAGAACAAAACGCCAGUCAGCCGGGAAAGUACGCAAAAAAAUGUCUUUAUGUACGGAAGGCAAGGUACGAGCACGGUUAUAUGUAUGUAUAUGUAUAUGUAUGUUUAUGCUACCAUAAUAUGGAACAGAGCCAACAACACAAAAAACAAUGCCAGUGAGUGGCACAGAGCGCUGGAACAGGAGCGGUUCAUCUGGAGUAGAAGCUAUGUUUUGUUCGCAAAUAAGGCAAACAUAUUUCGUGAUCCUGUACUCCUCCUUUGCCGCUCCUGUGGCAAAGAGAACGAAGCGGAAAGGAGGAAACCGAACGGCGACCGCGAUGACGGACUCGUGCGGAUGCUGCUGAUGCCGAUGCUGAUGCCGACGUGGAUGUGGAUGUGGAUGCCGACGAGGAUGAGGAUGACGAUGCUGCUGCUCGGCUCUUCCUGUGGCUUUUCUCACUUGCUGAGCGCAACAAGGACCAAAAAAUACCAGCACGGCAACAACAAUGGCCAACAACAAUAAUAAUAGCGAAUGGCAACAAUAAACUGGGCUUGCGCCAAAAACGAAAUGCGAAAAUUUUGUGGGAAGAGCGAGCGAGAGUCGUCUUCUCACGACGGCAGGACGGUAACAACAACAGAAACAACAAAGGAGUAACGAGAUGGGAAAACAAAAUCACACAUACACACACGAAGAGCGACUCUCACAAAAAGCUGCUCAAAGUCAGUGUUUUGGGUGUGUGUGCGUGCAUGUUAGUGGGAGAGAUUCACCCGAAAAAAGUUUUCAACUUGAAAUUGAACUGUGUGUGCCAUAGUUGAAGGUAGAAGAAGCAGCAUCAGACAAA